rnacentral:rRNA from 1 species
UACGUAGGGUGCAAGCGUUGUCCGGAAUUAUUGGGCGUAAAGAGCUCGUAGGCGGCCUGUCGCGUCGGCUGUGAAAACCCGAGGCUCAACCUCGGGCCUGCAGUCGAUACGGGCAGGCUAGAGUUCGGUAGGGGAGACUGGAAUUCCUGGUGUAGCGGUGAAAUGCGCAGAUAUCAGGAGGAACACCGGUGGCGAAGGCGGGUCUCUGGGCCGUUACUGACGCUGAGGAGCGAAAGCGUGGGGAGCGAACAGG